rnacentral:rRNA from 1 species
CCUACGGGUGGCUGCAGUGAGGAAUCUUGGUCAAUGGCCGGAAGGCUGAACCAGCCAUGCCGCGUGAAGGUCAGUGCCCUAUGGGCGUUAAACCUCUUUUGUGCGGGAGCAAUAAUGGUCACGUGUGGCCAGACGAGAGUACCGUACGAAUAAGCAUCGGCUAACUCCGUGCCAGCAGCGGCGGUCAAACGGGGGAUGCAAGCGUUAUCCGGAUUUAUUGGGUUUAAAGGGUGCGUAGGCUGGGAGGUAAGGCAGCGGGGGAAUGCCCCCGCUCAACGGGGUGAAGUGCCAUUGAUACUGCCUGGCUGGAGUGCGGAUGCGGUAGGAGGAAUGUGUGGUGUAGCGGUGAAAUGCAUAGAUAUCGCGCAGAACACCGAUUGCGAAGGCAGCUCACGAAUCCGCGAUUGACGCUGAUGCACGAAAGCGUGGGUAUCAAACAGGAUUAGAUACCCCAGUAGUC